CAUCUAGUGAAGGGGUAUCAACGAAAUCCGGUUCACGACAGAAACACACAAACAAAAAUAAUUGCCUUCCAAAAACAGCAAUUGAAGACUGCUAGGUAUAAAACGACCAGAACAAGGAUCACACAAGGGACAGAAAGGUCAUUAGCCCUAACGGUGCAUUCGGAAUUUUGUAAUUACCGUGGGCUGCCCAACUUUCAGACGGCCUUCCAUAUGUGUCAUGGAAUAAUAGAGAGGCCAUAUUCUUUUGGUUUCUUGAUGGAUAAACGGGAAUUGGGAAAACGUCUGCAAAGAAUCGUCAGCCAAUUUCAGACGAAACUGAAAUGACUGAAAUUGGCAAACGUUGCCUUUUCGCUAAUUGGACCUCACACCGGACAAGCUUGAAAGGACAAAGGGUGAAAAUUAUUUUAACUAACCAGGAAAUCUGACCUAAACUAGAUUCGUUUAGUAUCCUGAUACAAGAUGUGGUGUGGAAGCUCAUUCCGGGUCUUGAUAGUUUUGAUUUGCCAUCUCUCAGUAUUUGUGUAAAUUAAUGCCCACGUCACCCACGUCAUCAAGGAAAUUAGACAUUUCAAAAUGGAUGGAAACAAAAUAAUAUUAGUAAAAGUUACAAAUAUUUAAUUGGUAUAAAUUUGGAAAAUUGACUGGCUUUAAAGUGACAGCUACAGUUUUGGGACGACUGAUGGCUAUGCUUAAUUCCGUGAAAUACAAUGUUUGUUUUACA